GGCCGUCUGGCGCAAUGGCAGCGCGUCCGCCUACGAUAUGGUUCUGGCCCUACCCAGGGGUUGAACCUGAUAGCGGGAGGUUGCAGGUUCAACCCCUGCGUCGGUCA